rnacentral:lncRNA from 10 species
AGUCCCCUCCCCACCCUAUCCUGGAGCUUGUCAAGGCCACCAGAGACCUGCUCCCUGUGCCGUCUCAGACUGGACUCUGGGGUCUCCGGUGCCUCCUCUGAUUCUGCACCUCGGUGCAGCCUCUGGCCUGGCUGCGCUCUGAGGAGCUCCCUGUGGCCACCGAGCCCUUGGAACGUGGCCAGUUCCAUUCUCAAACUGCUGUGAGUGCAAAGCUCAUGCUGGAUUUUGAAGAUUUGAUUGCUGGCCAGGCAUGGUGGCUCACUCCUGUAAUCCCAGCACUGGGAGGCCAAGGCAAGAGGAUCGCUUGAGGCCGGGUGGUUGAGGCUGCCGUGAGCUGUAAUGGUGCCACUGCCCUCCAGCAUGGAUGACAGAGACCCCACCUCUAAAAACAAUUAAUUAAUUAAAAUUAAAUCAGUAAAAAAUUUUUUUAAUUAAAAUUUUAAAAAAUAGAUUAUUAAAACAAA